CUCCGUGCCAGCAGCCGCGGUAAUACGGAGGGUGCAAGCGUUAUCCGGGAUUCAUUGGGUUUAAAGGGUGCGUAGGCGGAUUAUUAAGUCAGGGGUGAAAGUUUGCGGCUCAACCGUAAAAUUGCCUUUGAUACUGGUAAUCUUGAGUACAUUUGAGGUAGGCGGAAUGUGAUGUGUAGCGGUGAAAUGCUUAGAUAUAUCACAGAACACCGAUUGCGAAGGCAGCUUACUAAACUGUAACUGACGCUGAGGCACGAAAGCGUGGGUAUCGAACAGGAUUAGAUACCCUGGUAGUCCACGCCGUAAACGAUGAUUACUAGUUGUUUGCAAUACAUAGUAAGCGACAAAGCGAAAGCAUUAGGUAAUCCACCUGGGGAGUACGUUGGCAACAAUGAAACUCAAAGGAAUUGACGGGGGCCCGCACAAGCGGAGGAACAUGUGGUUUAAUUCGAUGAUACGCGAGGAACCUUACCUGGACUUAAAUGGGGAGUGACAGGCUUAGAGAUAGGCUUUUCUUCGGACACUCUUCAAGGUGCUGCAUGGUUGUCGUCAGCUCGUGCCGUGAGGUGUCGGGUUAAGUCCCAUAACGAGCGCAACCCACGUCUUUAGUUACCAGCACGUAAUGGUGGGCACUCUAGAGAGACUGCCGGUGUAAACCGCGAGGAAGGUGUGGAUGACGUCAAAUCAGCACGGCCCUUACGUCCAGGGCUACACACGUGUUACAAUGGCCGGUACAGAGGGCAGCUACUGGGUGACCAGAUGCGAAUCUCCAAAACCGGUCUCAGUUCGGAUCGAAGUCUGCAACCCGACUUCGUGAAGCUGGAUUCGCUAGUAAUCGCAUAUCAGCCAUGAUGCGGUGAAUACGUUCCCGGGCCUUGUACACACCGCCCGUCAAACCAUGGAAGCCGGGGGUACCUGAAGUCUGUAACCGUAAGGAGCGGCCUAGGGUAAAUCUGGUAACUAGGGUU
rnacentral:rRNA from 1 species